AUGCAAAUUUUAUAGCUCGGUGCAAAAGUUAUUGUGGUUUUUGCCAUUAAUGGAGAAUUUUGCUGCAAUUACUUUUGCACCAGCCUAAUACAUAUUUAUUGUGUACAUA
rnacentral:miRNA from 1 species